rnacentral:rRNA from 3 species
AAUCCAUAGGUUAAUGAGGCGAACCGGGGGAACUGAAACAUCUAAGUACCCCGAGGAAAAGAAAUCAACCGAGAUUCCCCCAGUAGCGGCGAGCGAACGGGGAGGAGCCCAGAGCCUGAAUCAGCAUGUGUGUUAGUGGAAGCGUCUGGAAAGGCGCGCGAUACAGGGUGACAGCCCCGUACACAAAAGCGCAUGUGCUGUGAGCUCGAUGAGUAGGGCGGGACACGUGGUAUCCUGUCUGAAUAUGGGGGGACCAUCCUCCAAGGCUAAAUACUCCUGACUGACCGAUAGUGAACCAGUACCGUGAGGGAAAGGCGAAAAGAACCCCGGCGAGGGGAGUGAAAAAGAACCUGAAACCGUGUACGUACAAGCAGUGGGAGCACCCUUUGGGUGUGACUGCGUACCUUUUGUAUAAUGGGUCAGCGACUUAUAUUCUGUAGCAAGGUUAACCGAAUAGGGGAGCCGGAGGGAAACCGAGU